AGAGAGCAGAGGCAGAAGUCAAGGAACUGGAGGCUGAGGAACCCAGCGGACCACGAAAGCAGGGAGAUAACUAGACAGCAUGCUCGGCUGGAAGGACCAAAGUCAGAGAAGGAAAAAUGAAUAAGAAAAUGAGCAGUCAGAGGCAGCUAGGGUGACGGACAGACAGCAUGAAGCGCAGCAGAAUGAAUAGCCAGAAGACUCGGACAGGCAGAGCCGAAGGACCGCAGAGCUCAGCGCCGGAGAGACAGCUGCCUUCAAACUCCUGGCCUCAAGUAAUCCUCCCACCUCAACCUCCCAAAGUGCUAGGAAUACAGAUGUGAGCCACCACACCCAGGCAAGAUUCUUAAAUAGAAUAAUAAAAUCACUCACUUGAACUAUAUUAAAAUUAAGAACUUUUGUUCACCAAAAGACAUUAUUGAAAGAGUGAGAAGGCAACCCAUAGACUGAAGAAGAUAUUUGCGGUACUGAAGUUUAUUCUGAACUUUUUGCAAGUCUGAAAAUCUCACAAAGUCCUCUGAUCUAGACAUAUAAAGAAUUUCACAAGCCAGCAAUCCCAUUACUGGAUAUAUACCCAGAGGAAUAUAAAUCAUUCUACCAUAAAGACACAUGCAUGCAAAUGUUCAUUGCAGCACUAUUCACAAUAGCAAAGAUAUGGAAUCAACCUAAAUGUCCAUCAAUGAGAGAUUGGAUAAAGAAAAUGUGGUACAUAUAAACCACGGAAUACUAUGCAGCCAUAAAAAGGAAUGAGACCAUGUUUUUCAUGGGAACAUGGAUGAAGCUGGAGGCCAUUAUACUCAGCAAACUAAUGCAGAAACAGAAAACCAAAUCCCACCAGCCUGGCCAACAUAGUGAAACCUCGUCUCUACUAAAAAUACAAAAAUUAGCCAGGCAUGGUGGUGCAUGGGCACGGUGGCACAUGCCUGUUGUCCCAGCUACUUGGCAGCCUGAGACAGGAGAAUCACUUGAACCCAAGAAGUGGAGGUUGCAGUGAGCCAAGAUCGCGCUACUACACUCCAGCUUGGGCAACAGAGUGAGACUUCGUCUUAAAAAAAGAAAAAAAAGAAAAAGAAAACCAAUUCCCAC
rnacentral:lncRNA from 1 species